rnacentral:rRNA from 1 species
GACGAACGCUGGCGGCGUGCUUAACACAUGCAAGUCGAACGGAAAGGCCCUGCUUUUGUGGGGUGCUCGAGUGGCGAACGGGUGAGUAACACGUGAGUAACCUGCCCUUGACUUUGGGAUAACUUCAGGAAACUGGGGCUAAUACCGGAUAGGAGCUCCUGCUGCAUGGUGGGGGUUGGAAAGUUUCGGCGGUUGGGGAUGGACUCGCGGCUUAUCAGCUUGUUGGUGGGGUAGUGGCUUACCAAGGCUUUGACGGGUAGCCGGCCUGAGAGGGUGACCGGCCACAUUGGGACUGAGAUACGGACCAGACGCCUACGGGAGGCAGCAGUGGGGAAUAUUGCACAAUGGGCGGAAGCCAGAUGCAGCAACGCCGCGUGCGGGAUGACGGCCUUCGGGUUGUAAACCGCUUUCGCCUGUGACGAAGCGUGAGUGACGGUAAUGGGUAAAGAAGCACCGGCUAACUACGUG